rnacentral:lncRNA from 1 species
UUCAAUUUUCUUUACUUCAGCUUACUUUGGUUGUUGCAUCAGGAAUCUUGGAGAGAACAUUCGGACCAACUAUCACAACGAAAGGAUCGUGACCCUUUUUUAUAGAGCAGCUAAAGCAUAUAGUAGAGAGGAGUUUUUAGACCAUUUCAAUUAAAUAAUGGAUGUGAAUCUCAAGGUAGCAGAAUUUCUCGUACGUGUCGAUUUUGAGAGAUGGAGACUGGCAGUUCGACAGAUAGGUAC